GUGAGGAAUAUUGGUCAAUGGGCGUGAGCCUGAACCAGCCAAGUCGCGUGAAGGAAGAAGGAUCUAUGGUUCGUAAACUUCUUUUGCAGGGGAAUAAAGUGCAGGACGUGUCCUGUUUUGUAUGUACCCUGAGAAUAAGGAUCGGCUAACUCCGUGCCAGCAGCCGCGGUAAUACGGAGGAUCCGAGCGUUAUCCGGAUUUAUUGGGUUUAAAGGGUGCGUAGGUGGUUUGAUAAGUCAGCGGUGAAAGUUUGCAGCUUAACUGUAAAAAUGCCGUUGAAACUGUCGGACUUGAGUGUAAAUGAGGUAGGCGGAAUGCGUGGUGUAGCGGUGAAAUGCAUAGAUAUCACGCAGAACUCCGAUUGCGAAGGCAGCUUACUAAGCUACAACUGACACUGAAGCACGAAAGCGUGGGGAUCAAACAGGAUUAGAAACCCCUGUAGUCC
rnacentral:rRNA from 1 species